UUUAUUAGGCUUGAUCGAUCCAUGAAAAAUUUGAUUCUAAACUCGUUUCAAUACUAGAGGGGGCAGUUUUUUCGUUUUUGUUGCUAAUAACGAAUUUGGCCCCCAAAAUUUUUCGAAAUUAAUGAAAAUUCGUUAUUUUCUAAAUUAAUUCGUUAAUGGCGGACGCGCAUGCGCGGUGGCCCAAAAACAGCCCGAAGGGGGGGGGACUUAGGGGGCUCUCCCGCCCUCAUUUUUUGAGUGAUCUUCUUCAAACUUGGUACAGUGGUAGAACACAUUUAACACUGAUAGCUCACCAAAAUGUGGAACGUUUCCCUUAUCCUCUGAUUUUUGGCAAAUUUUCAUAGCUUUUAUAAUAAACCUUUUUUUAAUAAUUGCAGUAAUCUGUUCCUGGUUUGAAAGUCUUAUUUCCUGUUAAAUUGGGUUGUCUUUACUGUGAAAGUCAUUGUUCUACUUCAGAAACUUUGUUUUUGUGGCUGAAACUUUGUUAAAUUGGUGUGUGUGUGAUAUAUAUUGUGUAUAUAUAUAUAUAUAGUCCCUGCUUGUGUGUGUGUGUGUGUGUGUGUGUGUGUGUGUGUGUGUGUGUGUGUGUGUGUAGGUAAAGGUAAAGGUAUCCCUUGACGUUAAGUUCAGUCAUGUCUGACUCUGGGGGUUGGUGCUCAUCUCCAUUUCUAAGCCCAAGAGCCAGUGUUGUCCAUAGACACCUCCAAGGUCAUGUGGCCGGCAUGACUACAUGGAGUGCCAUUACCUUCCCAGAAACACCCAGAAAAUGGGAAUUCCAGACAGGAAACAAUCAGGGCCAGCUAAUACCUCCCAACAAAGGAUUCCCCCAGGUAGGAAGCAGCCAGGCUUUGAAGCUGCAAGGCUAUUCAAUGCUAAUCAAGGUGACCAAUUGCAACAUUCACACUUGCCUCCCACAGACAAGAGUUCUUUCUCCCACCCUGGACCUUCCACAGAUAUAUAAACCCCACUUGCCUAGCUUCGCACAGACGUCAAAACCUCUAUGUCUGCCACAGAUGUGGGUGAAACGUCAGGAGAGAAUGCUUCUGGCACAUGGCCAUAGAGCCCGGAAUACAUACCACAACAGUGUGAUCCCGGCCAUGAAAGCUUUCGACAACACAACCACAGUAUCCAUUCAAGUUCAUGUAGCGUAGUAUGGAAUGGAGACCUGUAUUGGGGGGAGGGAGGGUGCGAAUCUGGGCCCCUGGGAGCAGCCGAGGACGGGCCUGGCCCACACCCCCUCGCAUCCCGGGCCUCUUCCUUCCUCUUCCUUUUGUUAUUUAAACUAUAUAUUGUGAAAUUAUGGUGUGUUUUUUUUCAUGCGUGUUCUGUGUUCAAGAUAGGGAGACCAAAGAGGAAAAGCAAGGGAGGGACGGAGGCCCCAACACUUCCGGCUCCCAUGCGAACUCCCCCUUGUGUGCCUUGGAGGGUGGAGCAUGCUCUCCCUUUCUCUAUGGCUCUUUUCAGGUCGCUUGGGAACCCGAAGUGCCUCCUCCCUUUGCCUUUGUGUCCAAGAAGGAGAGAAGGACGUUGCAAGGGGUUCUGUGCCCCAAUGUAUGAGGAGAUAUGGUGGUACAAGAUGUAGUUGAUAUGUCCAGUGGAAGGUUGGGAAUCAUGUGGCCCUUCAAAUGAAGUUCGACCGCAAGUCCCAUCCAAUAUAGCCAAUGGUGAGGAAUUCUGGAAGUAGCAAUCCAAUAAUAUCUGGAAGAACCCGUGAGUCUUACUGUUUACUUUCUAUUCAGAAAAGCUUUUAAAGAUGAAGGUAUUUAGUCAGGGCUCAGUGGUUUUUAACUUUAGAUAUGUUUUGAUAGAUUUUAACUGUGAAUUUUUUAAUGCUGUUUGAGUUUAAUUCCAUUUUAAUGUUUGCAUAUUUGUAUAUUUCAAAUUGGAUACUGAUGCUUUUAUGUCAAGCUGCUUUGAGUCCUCUUUGGGAAGAUAAAGUGGGACAUUAAUAAUAAUAGCAAUAAUAAUAAUAAUAAUUGCAGUACAAGAUAUGAUCUUGUGUCCAGCAUUGCUAUGUUCACGCCUUGCAAAGUGUCCUGUCCCUUUAAGAGCACAUGUUUUUUUCACCACUGAAAUUGUCCUGCUUUUUUCAAAACAGUGUAGUAGUUGAGGAAGGGUGGGUCAUUCAUAUCAUAAAAUAAAUAUUUGCCUAUGGUGCUUCUAGUAGUCUGCUAUGCAGCUGUUGCAGGCAAGCUUUAACAAAGUUCGGUAAUGAACAUUACCUUCAUUCAACAUUUCAAGGAGAAAAAUUCCAUCAGAAUGAAAAUCUCAUGACUGCAGAAGUGAAGAAUGAAGAAAACAUUAUUUUAAUGUUGUUCAGGACAAAGUGGCUCCCUUUGAAGGACAAACUCAUACCUUUAGCUUGACUGCAAUCCUGUGCUCACUUACCUAGUAGUAAGGAUUACUUACUGAGCUCAGUAGGAAUUACUUACACAUAUCUAAGGUUGUGUGGCUUUCCAAACAGCAUCAGUAUGCUUCUAUAGCAACAUGGUUAACACUUCUUUAAUGACCAUUUUAUUACAGUAGAGUCUCACUUAUCCAACACUCGCUGAUCCAACGUUCUGGAUUAUCCAACGCAUUUUUGUUGUCAAUGUUUUCAAUACAUCGUGAUAUUUUGGUGCUAAAUUCGUAAAUACAGCAAUUACGACAUAGCAUUACUGCGUAUUGAACUACUUUUUCUGUCAAAUUUGUUGUAUAACAUGAUGUUUUGGUGCUUAAUUUGUAAAAUCAUAACCUAAUUUUAUGUUUAAUAGGCUUUUCCUUAAUCCCUCCUUAUUAUCCAACAUAUUCGCUUAUCCAACAUUCUGCCGGCCCGUUUAUGUUGGAUAAGUGAGACUCUACUGUACUUGUCUUCUCUUUGUCAUUAUUCAGAGAAAAAAAAUCCCACAUUUAUUUGUAUCUAGAGAAGGUUGAAGAUAGAUACUAUGUUUAGGAAUAGCAUGAUAAUUAAUAAUGCUGUUAUUUUAUGUUGUGGUCCUUCUUCAACAAGGUAUCACUGGGAAUCCAAUAUUGCAGUUAUGAAUGUGUAACCUAAGAUAUGCACUCUCAUGAGCAGUCAUCUGCUUCAAGGGGGGGACAAUCGUAUAAGCCCACCAAUACCUACCCUGUUUCCCCUAAAAUAAGACAUCUCCAGAAAAUAAGACCUAGUAGAGGUUUUGCUGAAUUGCUAAAUAUAAGGCCUCCCCCGAAAGUAAGACCUAGCAAAGUUUUUGUUUGGAAGCAUGCCCAACGAACAGAACACCAGAGCAUGCAGGAUCAGCAAAUGUACGUACCAUAGAUGGUUGUACAUGGAAAUAUUGGUAGUAACAAAAAAUUCUUGAUAGCAUUCACAGUUUGUCUGGUUAUGAUGGUUUGUGAUGACAACUACUGUACAGUAUAUAAUAAAUGUUCUUUUUCUUUUUUUGUUCUACAAUAAAUGUGAAUUCUUCUUCAUGGAAAAAUAAGACAUCCCCUGAAAAUAAGACCUAGAGCAUCUUUGGGAGCAAAAAUUAAUAUAAGACACUGUCUUAUUUUCGGGGAAACACGGUACUUACCAAGCACAGCUACUGGGAUUGAGAACAAUUCAUUCCCCUCUGGUUCCAAAAAUGGCAGACUGAUGGUUUCAUUCACACACCCCUCUUACAAACAAUUCAAGUAUAAUGGGAAUUGCAACAGUGGUCUUGCAGGGGAUCAGAUCCCCUUUAAUCACAGCUGCUGCUCUAUGUUAAGUAUGGAUGAGCAAGGUUGGGCUGUGAUUCAGUAUGUAGCACUGCUAUGGUGCAACACAAUAGGUAAGUGCCAUACAGGAUUCUGCCAUAUUUACCAGAAUUCCCCAAAUGAGCAGUGUAUAUUAUUUCUGCAAUGGGCCGCAGUGGGUUCUGGGAAUUCCAAUUCAAAAAGAACUUUGUUCCACUUCCACCCUUUCCUGUUUUCCUCUGGUAAAGCCACCUGGCAGAUAGUGAAAGCUUUUGCUUCUAUUUUCAGUAAAAAGCAUCCGCAUAGAUGAGAAAGCAAAUAUGUUUUUAUUAAAUGAUCUAUUAAUAAAUCCAAAGGUCAAUCUCAGGAUUCAGCAAAUUACUAUGAAAGGCCAGAAUUUACUAAUUUACAUAGUCACCUAGCUCUAUAGUGUAUCUCAACCCCCUCAAUACUCACUGAGAGCCUGACAUCCCAUUAUGGGAUCUCCAUUGUAACAACCAAAAGCAGGGUUUCUGUCAAAUGCAUGAAGGACUGGCUGCAUGAGGGGGGAUUGGGAGACUUUCAAAGUCCCUAUAUAUUCUCUAAACUAAAAUCCGGGGAUCAAACCUUGGUCAAUUCUCUGUGAAUAUUUCCAUAGGUAUGAAAUAUCAGGGCUGUUUUUGCCCCCUUCUUCCUUUGAAAUAUUGCUCACAGUUAGCUGUCACCCAAACAAGUGCUAAUCAGGGAUGAUCCUACUGAGGCUGGAUCUAUGCUGCCAUAUAAUCCAGUAUCUGAUCCCAGAUUAUCUGGUUGAAGUGAAUGAGUCCAGUUCAAAGCAGCUAAUCUGGAUUUUAUAUGGCAAUGUAGAUGGGGCCUGAGUUUUCAAUAUCAUUGUCCACCCCGCGACUGUGGAAUGACCUGCUAGACUCAUAGGGGCCAUAGUGGCACAAUAGGUCAAGCCCUUGUGCUACUGAACUGCUGACCUGAAGGUGAGGUCCCGUCUGUCAGCCUUAGCAUGACAACAUGGAAGGCAGUAGGGGAAAAAAAGGAUUCAUCUACAUGGUCACCUAAAUGAGACCAGGCCAGAGCAUUGCUGCUUUGGAUUAGCCCUAGAUUCAGUGGAGCUGUUGACACACCCCUAAUCAUAGUAAGAGAGGGAGCAGAAUCCAGAACUGUCCACUUGGGCUAAACCCGAUUUGGCCCUACUAGAUGGUCACUUUUACCUGAGCUGUGCCAUGUUGCUGUUGGAAGCUGUCAUGAGCGGCUCCUGGCCAUCACCACACACUGUUGCUGACAUCAGCAAAGGCAGGCACCCCACAACAUGGGGAAAGGAAGGAGGUGAUUCCCCUCCUUUCUUCAGGUUGUGUGGGCAUGAUUUCGGAUAUCACCAAAGCUAUGUAGCAAUGACCUGGAGCUUUCUGUAGUGAUAAGAACAGGCAAGGUAAAUUCUACCCCCUUUCCCCCAUGCCAGAGUGUAGGGAAAGGGGGUAAUGGCACUGGCCCAUGCGGUAGUGAGCCAGUUUAUAUUGGAACCAGUCCAGCUGUUCAUACUAACCUGACUUCUGCUAACACAGGUUAAAACUAGGUUAUUUAUUUAUUUAUUUAUUUACAACAUUUAUAGCCCGCCCUUCUCACCUGAAGGGACUCAGGGCGGCUUACACAAUUGGUAACAAUUCGAUGCCGACACAUAGUUAAAAUCAUAACAAUAUAAAAAAUCAAUUAAAAAACAAUACAAUAUAAAAAUGUAAUACAUAUGGUUAAAUCCAUUCAUCCACAAUCCUCAUGCUUUAGUCAUAAAUCAGUCCAGGUCAUCUUUGUUGUUUAUUUGUUAAAGGCCUGAGCACAUGGCCAUGUUUUAGGGCUCUUCAAAAGCUCAAAGGGGUUGGGGCUUGCCGUAUAUCUCUGGGAAGAGUGUUCCACAGCCGGGAAGCCACCACCGAAAAGGCCCUGUCCUUCGUUCCUGCCAGACGCGUUUGCGUGGCAGGCGGGACCGAGAGCAGGGCCUUACCAGAUGACCUUAGGGAUCUUCCUGGCUCAUAGGAGGAGAUACGUUCGGACAAGUAGAUUGGGCCAGAAUCUUUUAGGGCUUUAUAGGUCAAAACCAGCACUUUGAAUUGGGCUCGGUAGCAUAUCGGCAGCCAGUGGAGCUGGCUUAGCAGAUGUGAUGCCUCAUGGGCCUUGUAGUCCCGCUCCUAGUGUCACUGUGGCUGACGAAGAUGAAAACAUGGGGUUUUCUCCGGAUCAACAACAGCCGGAAUCCUUCCAGAUGCCUGAUGUUGAUGUUCUUGCCCAAGAGCCCAUUAAAACAGACCUUGAACAGCUCUCACCUCCCUUCGCUAGGAGACAGUCCUUUGCUGCAGACAGGGGAGUGAAAGAGCGGGUUCGCAGGAGUUUAAGAAUUGCAGCCAAACAAGACACUGAUUAGCCAUGUUUCCCCUGGGAAAAUCCAGGGAGUCUCACAUCUGGAAAGUUGGGUUUCGCUUCCCGUUCUCUAGGGAAAGAGAUCGCUGGACACCUGUUUGGCGGGAAAACGAAACCCAGUUAAAGGUGCCUGGCACGGUUGAUUCCGUGCAGAGACAAUAGAGCAGCUUCAGGAGUGAAAUCGUGUUCCAGCCUUGUGUGGACUUCGCAAAGUCCGCAAAUCCAGUUUCCUUGCCUUGCUUAUUCAAGUAUUCAAGAAUUGCCUUGCCUUGUUCAUAGUCACGGACCUUGUUCCUAGAAUCAAGUUUUGUUUCCAGCCUUGUUGUGGAUUUUACCUUGGACCUUGAAAGACCCUGGACAAUUCCCCACACUAUUGCUUGGCAAUAGUGUGUGUUUCGGUUUAUUGGAUUUUAUCUUUGGACUCUAAUAUCAUUUAUUGGACAAACUAUUUCUGGACUAUAUUUGACCUCAUUUGAAAGGUCUGCUUCUGGACUAUAUUUUCUGCUUGCUUUUAUCAUUCUUAUAUAUUUCCUUAAUAAAGAUAUUAGAUAGUU